rnacentral:rRNA from 1 species
CCGGGGAUCUCCCCGGUGCACUCUUCUGGGGGCAGGCCAGCAUCAGUUCGGGCGGUUGGAGAAAGACCUGUGUCAUGUAGCUGUUCUCGGGCAGUGUUAUAGGGCAGGUGGAAUGCAACCAGCCUGAACUGAGGUCCGCGCUUUUGCUAGGAUGCUGGCGUAAUGGCUGUAAGCGGCCCGUCUUGAAACACGAACCAAGGAGUCUAACAUCUAUGCGAGUGUUUGGGUGUCAAGCCCGAGCGCGUAAUGAAAGUGAACGGAGGUGGGAACCCCUCGGGGUGCACCAUCGACCGAUCCUGAUGUCUUCGGAUGGAUUUGAGUAAGAGCAUAGCUGUUGGGACCCGAAAGAUGGUGAACUAUGCCUGAAUAGGGUGAAGCCAGAGGAAACUCUGGUGGAGGCUCGCAGCGGUUCUGACGUGCAAAUCGAUCGUCAAAUUUGGGCAUAGGGGCGAAAGACUAAUCGAACUAUCUAGUAGCUGGUUCCUGCCGAAGUUUCCCUCAGGAUAGCAGUAACGUUUUCAGUUUUAUGAGGUAAAGCGAAUGAUUAGAGGCCUGGGGGUUGAAACAACCUUCACCUAUUCUCAAACUUUAAAUAUGUAAGAAGUCCUUGUUUCUUAAUUGAACGUGGACAUUUGAAUGUAUCGUUACUAGUGGGCCAUUUUUGGUAAGCAGAACUGGCGAUGCGGGAUGAACCGAACGCGGGGUUAAGGUGCCAGAAUGCACGCUCAUCAGACACCACAAAAGGUGUUGGUUCAUCUAG